UACGUAGGGUGCGAGCGUUGUCCGGAAUUAUUGGGCGUAAAGAGCUCGUAGGCGGUGUGUCACGUCGGCCGUGAAAACCUGGGGCUUAACUCUGGGCGUGCGGUCGAUACGGGCAUCACUAGAGUUCGGCAGGGGAGACUGGAAUUCCUGGUGUAGCGGUGAAAUGCGCAGAUAUCAGAAGGAACGCCGGUGGCGAAAGCGACAGGCUGGCCCUCUUCUGACGCUGAGGCGCGAAAGCCAGGGGAGCAAACGGG
rnacentral:rRNA from 1 species